UACGUAGGGAGCAAGCGUUGUCCGGAAUCAUUGGGCGUAAAGCGCGCGUAGGUGGCUUCGUAAGUCCGUUGUGAAAGUCAAAGGCUCAACCUUUGAAAGCCGAUGGAUACUGCGGAGCUAGAGUACGGAAGAGGCGAGUGGAAUUCCUGGUGUAGCGGUGGAAUGCGCAGAUAUCAGGAGGAACACCGGUGGCGAAGGCGGGUCUCUGGGCAAUAACUGACGCUGAGGAGCGAAAGCGUGGGGAGCGAACAGG
rnacentral:rRNA from 1 species